AUGGCGGCGCCGGGAAGCAGUAAUGGCGGUGGCGGCAGCAGAUCCCAGCAGCAGCAGCCGCAGCAGGACAAGCAGAGUAUAUGGGCUGGCUGUUUCUCUGGCUUGUCAUGCUUCGGGGCGCAGAAGGGCGGAAAGCGUAUAGUUCCUGCAGCACGUAUGCCCGACGGGAACGCAUCGACUAACCGUGGAAACGCUCAGUCUGGUGGCAAUCCCAACCAGAAUGGGGCUAUGAAUCUGUCCCUUCUCGCGCCACCGUCAUCCCCGGCAUCCUUCUCCAACUCUGCACUUCCUUCGACUGCCCAGUCACCUAACUGCUUCCUGUCAAUCUCUGCAAAUUCUCCUGGUGGACCAACAUCUAACAUGUUUGCUGUUGGACCAUAUGCCAAUGAGCCUCAGCUCGUCUCGCCUCCGGCAGCCUUUUCGACCUACACAACCGAGCCAUCCACAGCACCACUGACCCCUCCUCCUGAACUAGCUCAUGCCACCACUCCAUCCUCUCCAGAUGUCCCGUACGCUCGGUUCCUUUCGUCGUCUAUGGGUCUUAAAACUGCAGGCAAGGAGCACAACAUGCAUUACUACUCUGGUGGUUCAGGGCUCCAGGGGCCUUAUCCACUUUACCAGCCAGGGAGCCCUUCCAGCAGCCUCAUCUCGCCUGCCUCGGUGACUCCGAGGACCGGCCUCUCCUCGCCUAUCCCUGAGCAAAAUGUUCCUACUGCUGCUCACUGGAAGACGUCCAGGUCUGCCUGCGACACGCCGUACUCCAUCGCUUCGCCCAUACCCGAGCAAGAGGUCCCUACCGCACACUGGAAGAAGACCUCCAGGUCUGCCUGUGACACGCCGUACUCCAGGACAUCGCCGUCGAACAUCUUCGGGCUUGAUUCUGCUGCCACAAGAAACUCCCUGCUAGAUAGCAACUUCUUCCGCCCAGCUGCAUCUGCUCAGUUCUACCUGGAUCAGGCUUAUAAUGGUGGCAGGCUCAGCGUCUCGAGGGAUAAGCAACAAGAUGCUGAUGAGGUUGAAGCGUACCGAGCAUCAUUUGGAUUCAGUGCCGAUGAGAUGGUUACAAGCACUCAACGUUACGCAGAAGCACCAGAUGCCGCGCUUGAUGAGGGAUUCAGCAUAUCUCCAUUUGGAAACACUGCCCCUGCUAAUAACACAGAGGAGGUGUGCCUGUUCAAUGAUCCUCUGCCUAAUCAUGAGGUUCAGAAGGUGGGUAAGAUGGGUAGAUCACUCUCCAAUGCAAAAGAGAUGAUGACAAGCCCCUCAAAGAAGGCAGCAGACCAGCUUCCACAUAAGGCAGUGCACCUCGAUAUGUUCAAAGGAACAAAAGGGGGGUAUCUGUCCGAGGACGACACGUCGGCAGCGAAAGACUGCCAUCCUUUCAGGAUGACUCGGGACGAGAUAUCACUGAAACCCAUAGAGGUGAGGAAGAAAGCCCCGGCUGGGCAGGCGUGCUCGGAUGCGGAGGUCGAGUUCAGGAGGGCGAGGAGCCUGAGAGAGGCCAACAGCGUCCUGUCAUGGCGCAGCACGCUGUCAAGACAACUAGAGUAA
rnacentral:rRNA from 1 species